CGCCGCUCUGUGCGUUCACGGACACGUAGGAUGACAGCGCGCGCGGCUCCAGAUCGCUGGCCAGGAUGGAAUAGGAGACGUGGCCGUUGGGCCCCAGGUCGGGGUCGGAGGCGCUGACUUGCGCUAUGGAGUUGCCGGGCGGGUUGUUUUCUGCCACGUGGACCACGUAGAAGGCUUGGUGGAAAACAGGAGCGUUGUCGUUGAUGUCCGUUAUGUGCAGAGUGAUGGUGACUUCUCCAUUUUCUCCGGAAUCCCGGUCCCGUGUUUUGAAGAGGGCAACAACCAUUCCUGGAAG